GGGACACGUGGUAUCCUGUCUGAAUAUGGGGGGACCAUCCUCCAAGGCUAAAUACUCCUGACUGACCGAUAGUGAACCAGUACCGUGAGGGAAAGGCGAAAAGAACCCCGGCGAGGGGAGUGAAAAAGAACCUGAAACCGUGUACGUACAAGCAGUGGGAGCACGCUUAGGCGUGUGACUGCGUACCUUUUGUAUAAUGGGUCAGCGACUUAUAUUCUGUAGCAAGGUUAACCGAAUAGGGGAGCCGAAGGGAAACCGAGUCUUAACUGGGCGUUAAGUUGCAGGGUAUAGACCCGAAACCCGGUGAUCUAGCCAUGGGCAGGUUGAAGGUUGGGUAACACUAACUGGAGGACCGAACCGACUAAUGUUGAAAAAUUAGCGGAUGACUUGUGGCUGGGGGUGAAAGGCCAAUCAAACCGGGAGAUAGCUGGUUCUCCCCGAAAGCUAUUUAGGUAGCGCCUCGUGAAUUCAUCUCCGGGGGUAGAGCACUGUUUCGGCAAGGGGGUCAUCCCGACUUACCAACCCGAUGCAAACUGCGAAUACCGGAGAAUGUUAUCACGGGAGACACACGGCGGGUGCUAACGUCCGUCGUGAAGAGGGAAACAACCCAGACCGCCAGCUAAGGUCCCAAAGUCAUGGUUAAGUGGGAAACGAUGUGGGAAGGCCCAGACAGCCAGGAUGUUGGCUUAGAAGCAGCCAUCAUUUAAAGAAAGCGUAAUAGCUCACUGGUCGAGUCGGCCUGCGCGGAAGAUGUAACGGGGCUAAACCAUGCACCGAAGCUGCGGCAGCGACGCUUAUGCGUUGUUGGGUAGGGGAGCGUUCUGUAAGCCUGUGAAGGUGUGCUGUGAGGCAUGCUGGAGGUAUCAGAAGUGCGAAUGCUGACAUAAGUAACGAUAAAGCGGGUGAAAAGCCCGCUCGCCGGAAGACCAAGGGUUCCUGUCCAACGUUAAUCGGGGCAGGGUGAGUCGACCCCUAAGGCGAGGCCGAAAGGCGUAGUCGAUGGGAAACAGGUUAAUAUUCCUGUACUUGGUGUUACUGCGAAGGGGGGACGGAGAAGGCUAUGUUGGCCGGGCGACGGUUGUCCCGGUUUAAGCGUGUAGGCUGGUUUUCCAGGCAAAUCCGGAAAAUCAAGGCUGAGGCGUGAUGACGAGGCACUACGGUGCUGAAGCAACAAAUGCCCUGCUUCCAGGAAAAGCCUCUAAGCAUCAGGUAACAUCAAAUCGUACCCCAAACCGACACAGGUGGUCAGGUAGAGAAUACCAAGGCGCUUGAGAGAACUCGGGUGAAGGAACUAGGCAAAAUGGUGCCGUAACUUCGGGAGAAGGCACGCUGAUACGUAGGUGAAGUCCCUCGCGGAUGGAGCUGAAAUCAGUCGAAGAUACCAGCUGGCUGCAACUGUUUAUUAAAAACACAGCACUGUGCAAACACGAAAGUGGACGUAUACGGUGUGACGCCUGCCCGGUGCCGGAAGGUUAAUUGAUGGGGUCAGCGCAAGCGAAGCUCUUGAUCGAAGCCCCGGUAAACGGCGGCCGUAACUAUAACGGUCCUAAGGUAGCGAAAUUCCUUGUCGGGUAAGUUCCGACCUGCACGAAUGGCGUAAUGAUGGCCAGGCUGUCUCCACCCGAGACUCAGUGAAAUUGAACUCGCUGUGAAGAUGCAGUGUACCCGCGGCAAGACGGAAAGACCCCGUGAACCUUUACUAUAGCUUGACACUGAACAUUGAGCCUUGAUGUGUAGGAUAGGUGGGAGGCUUUGAAGUGUGGACGCCAGUCUGCAUGGAGCCGACCUUGAAAUACCACCCUUUAAUGUUUGAUGUUCUAACGUUGACCCGUGAUCCGGGUUGCGGACAGUGUCUGGUGGGUAGUUUGACUGGGGCGGUCUCCUCCUAAAGAGUAACGGAGGAGCACGAAGGUUGGCUAAUCCUGGUCGGACAUCAGGAGGUUAGUGCAAUGGCAUAAGCCAGCUUGACUGCGAGCGUGACGGCGCGAGCAGGUGCGAAAGCAGGUCAUAGUGAUCCGGUGGUUCUGAAUGGAAGGGCCAUCGCUCAACGGAUAAAAGGUACUCCGGGGAUAACAGGCUGAUACCGCCCAAGAGUUCAUAUCGACGGCGGUGUUUGGCACCUCGAUGUCGGCUCAUCACAUCCUGGGGCUGAAGUAGGUCCCAAGGGUAUGGCUGUUCGCCAUUUAAAGUGGUACGCGAGCUGGGUUUAGAACGUCGUGAGACAGUUCGGUCCCUAUCUGCCGUGGGCGCUGGAGAACUGAGGGGGGCUGCUCCUAGUACGAGAGGACCGGAGUGGACGCAUCACUGGUGUUCGGGUUGUCAUGCCAAUGGCACUGCCCGGUAGCUAAAUGCGGAAGAGAUAAGUGCUGAAAGCAUCUAAGCACGAAACUUGCCCCGAGAUGAGUUCUCCCUGACUCCUUGAGAGUCCUGAAGGAACGUUGAAGACGACGACGUUGAUAGGCCGGGUGUGUAAGCGCAGCGAUGCGUUGAGCUAACCGGUACUAAUGAACCGUGAGG
rnacentral:rRNA from 1 species